rnacentral:rRNA from 1 species
GGUCAGGAUGAACGCUGGCGGCGUGCCUAACACAUGCAAGUCGAACGGAGAACCCGCCCUCGGGCGGUUAUGAAGUGGCGAACGGGUGAGUAACACGUGACCAACCUGCCCCGCGCUCAGGGACAGCCUCGGGAAACCGGGAUUAAUACCUGAUGCGCCCCCGCCCCCGCAUGGGGGAGGGGGAAAGCCCAAGCGGCGCGGGAUGGGGUCGCGGCCCAUCAGGUAGACGGCCGGGUAGAGGCCGGCCGUGCCGACGACGGGUAGCCGGGUUGAGAGACCGACCGGCCACAUUGGGACUGAGAUACGGCCCAGACUCCUACGGGAGGCAGCAGUGGGGAAUAUUGCGCAAUGGGGGAAACCCUUGACGCAGCAACGCCGCGUGCGGGACGACGGCCCUCGGGUUGUAAACCGCUUUCAGCAGGGAAGACAUCGACGGUACCUGCAGAAGAAGCCCCGGCUAACUACGUGCCAGCCGCCGC